rnacentral:lncRNA from 1 species
AAUAAACUAAACAUUAUAUAGAGAAAAAGAAAUUUCAGCACAUAUGACUUUUACGAAAUCCAAAACAAAAGAAUAAAAGAAAGUCAAAAACACUACUGUUUAUAUCUUGCACAACAAACACAAAUUAAUAAUAAAAGUGUAAAAGGCGGCUCCCUAUUCAGUGCUAUGCAUGCUUUCUCGGUAAUUUCUAGUGGAUAAAAAAUUAAUUAAUUAAUUAAUUAAAGCAAGGUAGAAAAAGAGAAAGGACCUUUAUAUUAUAUAAUUUUGCCUUGAAACCGAUUACACUUCAAAUUCGAACCAAGCAUGGUUACUGCAGACCGGAUCUCAGCUUCAAUUACUCUACGUUGACUUGACGACGAUUGAUCUCCAUUAUGUCUUUGAUAUAUUAAUCCCAUACCCAACUGGAUUUGGAUAGAAUAUAGCCACUAUUUUGUUCAAAAAAAAAAAUAUAAGGAAGAUGAAUAAUGGUGAAACUUUAGGUGUUCCUUGUUCAACAUUGAAGAAUCAAGGGGAAGCUGAUGGGUGCGAGUAUUUGGUCUUCCGAUUGUUUUGUGGUGGAUUGUCUGUAAUAGAGUGUAGGUCUAUAUUUAGAUAGUAUUAUAU